UUUCCGUAGGUGAACCUGCGGAAGGAUCAUUAUUGAAUAACCGAUGGGCGAGGGCUGUCGCUGACUCGACAGGUGGACCAUGUACGAGAGUCUUCAGAUUCAAUUAUACCACCCCUAUGUGCUCCACGUCGUGGGUUCCUCACAGACUUAAUCGUAUGGCGGCGGACGUCUUCACACAAACUUUGCAUGCAGAGGAGAAAGUAUGUUUUGUCUUUGCGAUGACGCAAACUAAACAACUUUCAACAACGAACCCCUUGGCUCUCUGAUCGAUGAAGAACA
rnacentral:misc_RNA from 1 species